rnacentral:rRNA from 1 species
AGAGUUUGAUUAUGGCUCAGGAUUAACGCUGGCGGCGUGCCUAAUACAUGCAAGUCGGAUGGUUAGCUUGCUAACCAUGGCGAACGGGUGAGUAACACGUAGGCAACCUGUCUAAAAGACGAGGAUAACCAUUGGAAACGAUGGAUAAUACUGGAUAGGAUUAUUUAGGGCAUCCUAGAUAAUUUAAAGAUUUAUCACUUUUAGAGGGGCCUGCGGCGCAUUAGCUAGUUGGUAGAGGUAAAGGCCUACCAAGGCGAUGAUGCGUAGCCGGACUGAGAGGUUGAACGGCCACAAUGGGACUGAGAACGGCCCAUACUCCUACGGGAGGCAGCAGUAGGGAAUUUUCGGCAAUGGGCGGAAGCCUGACCGAGCAACGCCGCGUGAACGAAGAAGUAUUUCGGUAUGUAAAGUUCUUUUAUUUGGGAAGGAAAGACAGAUUGACUGUACCAAAUGAAUAAGCUCCGGCUAACUACGUGCCAGCCGCCGC